rnacentral:rRNA from 1 species
CCUACGGGUGGCAGCAGUGGGGAAUAUUGCACAAUGGGGGAAACCCUGAUGCAGCGACGCCGCGUGAGUGAAGAAGUCUCUCCGUAUGUAAAGCUCUAUCAGCAGGGAAGUAACUCACGGUACCUGUUUAAGAUUCCCUGGCCAAAUACGUUCCGGCAGCCGAGGUAAUACGGAGGGGGCCAGCGUUAUCCGGAUUUACUGGGUGUAAAGGGAGCGUAGACGGCAGGGCAAGUGUGAAGUGAAAUGCCGGGGCUUAACCCCGGAACUGCUGUGGAAACUGUGCUGCUAGAGUGCGGGGAAGGUAAGUGGAAUUCCUAGUGUAGCGGUGAAAUGCGUAGAUAUGACGAAGAACCCCGGUUGCGAAGGCAGCUUGCUGGAGUGUAACUGACGUUGAGGCUCGAAAGCGUGGGUAGCGAACAGGAUUAGAUACCCCUGUAGUC